rnacentral:rRNA from 1 species
GACGAACGCUGGCGGCGUGCUUAACACAUGCAAGUCGAACGGAAAGGCCCUGCUUUUGUGGGGUGCUCGAGUGGCGAACGGGUGAGUAAUACGUGAGUAACCUGCCCUUGACUUUGGGAUAACUUCAGGAAACUGGGGCUAAUACCGGAUAGGAGCUCCUGCUGCAUGGUGGGGGUUGGAAAGUUUCGGCGGUUGGGGAUGGACUCGCGGCUUAUCAGCUUGUUGGUGGGGUAGUGGCUUACCAAGGCUUUGACGGGUAGCCGGCCUGAGAGGGUGACCGGCCACAUUGGGACUGAGAUACGGCCCAGACUCCUACGGGAGGCAGCAGUGGGGAAUAUUGCACAAUGGGCGGAAGCCUGAUGCAGCAACGCCGCGUGCGGGAUGACGGCCUUCGGGUUGUAAACCGCUUUCGCCUGUGACGAAGCGUGAGUGACGGUAAUGGGUAAAGAAGCACCGGCUAACUACGUGCCAGCAGCCGCGGUGAUACGUAGGGUGCGAGCGUUGUCCGGAUUUAUUGGGCGUAAAGGGCUCGUAGGUGGUUGAUCGCGUCGGAAGUGUAAUCUUGGGGCUUAACCCUGAGCGUGCUUUCGAUACGGGUUGACUUGAGGAAGGUAGGGGAGAAUGGAAUUCCUGGUGGAGCGGUGGAAUGCGCAGAUAUCAGGAGGAACACCAGUGGCGAAGGCGGUUCUCUGGGCCUUUCCUGACGCUGAGGAGCGAAAGCGUGGGGAGCGAACAGGCUUAGAUACCCUGGUAGUCCACGCUGUAAACGGUGGGUACUAGGUGUGGGGUCCAUUCCACGGGUUCCGUGCCGUAGCAAACGCUUUAAGUACCCCGCCUGGGGAGUACGGCCGCAAGGCUAAAACUCAAAGGAAUUGACGGGGCCCCGCACAAGCGGCGGAGCAUGCGGAUUAAUUCGAUGCAACGCGUAGAACCUUACCUGGGUUUGACAUGGAUCGGGAGCGCUCAGAGAUGGGUGUGCCUCUUUUGGGGUCGGUUCACAGGUGGUGCAUGGCUGUCGUCAGCUCGUGUCGUGAGAUGUUGGGUUAAGUCCCGCAACGAGCGCAACCCUUGUUCACUGUUGCCAGCACGUUAUGGUGGGGACUCAGUGGAGACCGCCGGGGUCAACUCGGAGGAAGGUGGGGAUGACGUCAAGUCAUCAUGCCCCUUAUGUCCAGGGCUUCACGCAUGCUACAAUGGCUGGUACAGAGAGUGGCGAGCCUGUGAGGGUGAGCGAAUCUCGGAAAGCCGGUCUCAGUUCGGAUUGGGGUCUGCAACUCGACCUCAUGAAGUCGGAGUCGCUAGUAAUCGCAGAUCAGCAACGCUGCGGUGAAUACGUUCCCGGG